rnacentral:rRNA from 1 species
UACGGAGGGGCUAGCGUUGUUCGGAAUUACUGGGCGUAAAGCGCACGUAGGCGGCUUUGUAAGUUAGAGGUGAAAGCCCGGGGCUUAACCCUGGAAUUGCCUUUAAGACUGCAUCGCUAGAAUCGUGGAGAGGUAAGUGGAAUUCCGAGUGUAGAGGUGAAAUUCGUAGAUAUUCGGAAGAAACACCAGUGGCGAAGGCGACUUACUGGACACGUAUUGACGCUGAGGUGCGAAAGCGUGGGGAGCAAACAGG